CAUUCUUAAUAUACAAUACUUCUUUUUCAUGCAUUAAGCCCCUUACAAUGUCGAGUAAACAAAGCAUGUGUCCGCUAAUAUUGUCUUCGAGCUUGGUAUUUUUGUAUUCUGAUACGGUAUUUGGGGACGACAUCUUUUGUUGACUCGAUAUAAGAAGGGGGUUUGUGGAAGAAAUUGUAGUAUUAUAUAUCAAGAAUG
rfam:Arabidopsis thaliana chromosome 4, complete sequence.